GUGUGCGUUUGGCAGCGCUCAAGUGUGAGUGUAUUAGAGCGUAAGACGUUCGAUAUUCUUGCUGUUGUUAUUGUUUUGCGGAGGAAAAAAUCCCACGGCGUUGCGAUCGAAAACUUGGGAACAGCCAUUCGAACUAGCGUCUACCUAGUUUUCUGCAUAACGACGAAACACACACAUUAAAACAUUCAGCGGCUCUUGAGCAAAUCAAAAAGUCCAAGAAAGCCAAGAAUUCUAGGCGACGUGGCAGCUCGCGCUGAUCAAGAAUAUAGAUAGUCUAGAAGACCAACAGAGAUUCCACCACUGCUAACAUCCAAACCUAUUGUCAUUUAUCAUAUUUAAUUAUAUAUAUGCAUGGUAGAGCGUGCUGUUUCUUACAUACCGUUGCAGUUUGAACUCUCCCAAAAAAAACUUAUUUAGCAGGCUUUACUUCACAGUAUUACGAAAUGGACUUAAAGGUUCGUCGAUCGGAGAAUACCAAAUACAUAUACACGAACUAAAUACGGCGAAUUUUCCAACUCGUAUAUAUACAAAAUGAGAAGACGGCCAAAAAAUGUACAAAUGAGCGAACAAAAGGAAAAGAAAGGAGAAAUUUUCGAGUAUUUCAACUAUAAAAGAAACUACGAUAUUUGCGGGUAAGAUAAGUAAUAUCUAUUAGUGUAAUAUAUAUUAGUGUUGUAUGAUAAAAAAGAGCUUUUUAAAAAUAAAUGCAAAAACUUGCAA